rnacentral:rRNA from 1 species
UACGUAGGGUGCAAGCGUUAAUCGGAAUUACUGGGCGUAAAGCGUGCGCAGGCGGUUAUGCAAGACAGACGUGAAAUCCCCGGGCUCAACCUGGGAACUGCAUUUGUGACUGCAUGGCUAGAGUGCGGCAGAGGGGGGUGGAAUUCCGCGUGUAGCAGUGAAAUGCGUAGAUAUGCGGAGGAACACCGAUGGCGAAGGCAAUCCCCUGGGCCUGCACUGACGCUCAUGCACGAAAGCGUGGGGAGCAAACAGG